AAAAAAAAAAAAUCCUUUAGACCACAGAGAUUUUUGGCAAUAUCAUUUCAGAUUGAAUUUGCACUUGGAAACUUAAACCAGGUUUCUCUAGGACUUCUACAUGCCCAUGCUACACACAUCCUGUGGCCUCCAGAGCGCUGGCAGAAAUUGGAAUCUGUUCUUCCUCCAGAGCGCUUGCCUGUUCAGAGAGAAGAGGAAUGAUGGCAUGGAGCUCCCUCAGCUGCUGGCAUUGGGAGGCCCCCACCACCCAUUGCAGAAGGGGUGGAGAGGAGGAGCCUUCAGAAGGGCAAAGCUUGUUUCAAAUGAAAUGAUCCGCAUUAUUAAAGAGUUUUAAAAUAUUACAUAGUAUUAAAUAGCAACUGAUUUUGUGUUUAAUUGUAAUACCCUAUUUAAUGCCAAAAAAUUGCAGACCUUUGGGAAUAUGAAAAUUAAUGUUUGAUGAAAAUAAUUUAGUAAUGUCAUUUACUCUUAAGUGAGAACACGAAGAAACAUAGUGAUGGGAAUUAUAUUGCAAUUGACAGUAUAUACAAUGCAGUGACUCUUGGUUAAGAAGAACAGUACACUGUGAUGUAAAAAUAAAACAGUGAUUUCCUCAG